rnacentral:rRNA from 1 species
UACGUAGGGUGCGAGCGUUAAUCGGAAUUACUGGGCGUAAAGCGUGCGCAGGCGGUUUUGUAAGUCAGAUGUGAAAGCCCCGGGCUCAACCUGGGAACUGCGUUUGAAACUGCAAGGCUAGAGUGUAGCAGAGGGGGGGUAGAAGUUCCACGUGUAGCAGUGAAAUGCGUAGAGAUGUGGAGGAAUACCGAAUGGCGAAGGCAGCCCCCUGGGUUAACACUGACGCUCAUGCACGAAAGCGUGGGGAGCAAACGAGGAUUAGAGU